AUUGAACGCUGGCGGCAUGCCUUACACAUGCAAGUCGAACGGCAGCACGGACUUCGGUCUGGUGGCGAGUGGCGAACGGGUGAGUAAUAUAUCGGAACAUACCCUAGAGUGGGGGAUAACGUAGCGAAAGUUACGCUAAUACCGCAUACGCACUAAGGUGGAAAGUGGGGGAUCGCAAGACCUCAUGCUCAUGGAGUGGCCGAUAUCUGAUUAGCUAGUUGGUGAGGUAAAGGCUCACCAAGGCGACGAUCAGUAGCUGGUUUGAGAGAACGACCAGCCACACUGGAACUGAGACACGGUCCAGACUCCUACGGGAGGCAGCAGUGGGGAAUUUUGGACAAUGGGCGCAAGCCUGAUCCAGCAAUGCCGCGUGAGUGAAGAAGGCCUCGGUUGUAAG
rnacentral:rRNA from 1 species